rnacentral:rRNA from 1 species
CCGACGGUGAGAGGUGAAAGCUGGGGAGCAAACCGGAUUAGAUACCCGGGUAGUCCCAGCUGUAAACGAUGCGCGUUAGGUGUGUCAGUGACCACGUGUCACUGAUGUGCCGAAGGGAAACCGUGAAACGCGCCGCCUGGGGAGUACGGUCGCAAGGCUGAAACUUAAAGGAAUUGGCGGGGAGCACCACAACGGGUGGAGCCUGCGGUUUAAUCGGACUCAACGCCGGAAAUCUCACCGGAUAAGA